rnacentral:rRNA from 1 species
UUCGCAAUGCCCGAAAGGGUGACGAAGCGACGCCGCGUGUGGGAAGAAGGCCUUCGGGUUGUAAACCACUGUCGGGAGUUAGGAAAUGUAAGGGUGCUAAUAGUAUCCUUACUUGACUAAGGCUCCGGAGGAAGCCACGGCUAACUCUGUGCCAGCAGCCGCGGUAAUACAGAGGUGGCAAGCGUUGUUCGGAAUUAUUGGGCGUAAAGAGCACGUAGGCGGCCUUGCAAGUCAGUUGUGAAAGCCUUCCGCUUAACGGAAGAACGGCAUCUGAUACUACAGGGCUUGAGUACGGGAGGGGAGAGUGGAACUUCUGGUGGAGCGGUGAAAUGCGUAGAUAUCAGAAGGAACGCCGGCGGCGAAAGCGACUCUCUGGUCCGAAACUGACGCUGAGUGUGCGAAAGCUAGGGGAGCAAACGGGAUUAGAUACCCCGGUAGUCCUAGCCGUAAAC